GUUGGGGGUGAUGGGGGACCAGGAGCUUCUGCCUCAUCCCAUCAGCCUCCCUCCCUCCCCAGUACCCCCACCA
rnacentral:miRNA from 1 species